UACGAAGGGGGCUAGCGUUGCUCGGAAUCACUGGGCGUAAAGCGCACGUAGGCGGAUUGUUAAGUCAGGGGUGAAAUCCUGGAGCUCAACUCCAGAACUGCCUUUGAUACUGGCGAUCUUGAGUCCGGGAGAGGUGAGUGGAACUGCGAGUGUAGAGGUGAAAUUCGUAGAUAUUCGCAAGAACACCAGUGGCGAAGGCGGCUCACUGGCCCGGUACUGACGCUGAGGCACGAAAGCGUGGGGAGCAA
rnacentral:rRNA from 1 species